CUUGGCUCUCACCAUCUCACUCAUGGGUCUAUUCAAAGAGAUCAAAUUCCUUGAAAAUGCAAGCAUAUUACAUCGUGUCCAAGUGGGCUUGGCUUGUAGAUCGCGUGGGGUAGGUCGGAGGAGGUACUCUUGGCUGAUUUCAAGCUUGGAGAGUUAGGGUUUUGCUUGGAUCUUUGGGGUUUUGUUCAAAACCCUCGAGGUAUCAAUCAAGGUGUAUAGCAUAGAGUGCCAGGGUGCAUCGCGCGGAUGUCGUUGAAGCUUUAGGUUAAAAAGAGUAUCUUUACCAUCUUAUCUAAUUAUUUUUUGAAAUAAAAUUGUAACUUAAAUGUCAUAUCUUUGGUCUUUGACAAAUGUAGCGCUACUUAAUAUUAUCUCUCUCCUGACUAAUAUGUAAUUUAUGAAACGUAAACAUGUGGAUACCCAUUUGAAAGGAUGUUUGUCCAUGAGACGAUGUUGGCAUGAAGUUCAUGAGUAUGUGGGACGGA